AUGCGAUGAAGAGACUGAUGAUCACGAAAACCCUGACGUCUUAUCAUUGACACCUAAAGACCCAUCGGAUUCCGAAUCGUUAGGAAAACGGGGUCGUCGAUGAGUGUGGGCGAGCGACUAAUCUUCUCUCUGAGCAUU
rnacentral:snoRNA from 13 species